AGGGUAUUAUUGGUUGAACAAACCAUCUUUAUGUGACUUUUGCGCCACAUAGAUUCCCUAAGCCAACAUCGAGGUGCCAACCCCCGCUAUUGAUAAGGACUCUUUAGCGGGAUUAGCCUGUUAUCCCUAAGGUAGCUUGAUUUGUUGAUCUUGUUUAAGGGUCAUAAUCUAGAUUAAGUUAUCUGUUUAUUGGGGAUGAUUUAUAUUCCCUGGUCGCCCCAACCGAAUUUAUCUAAAAUUUUUUAUAUUUUAUUAAAAUAAAGCUCUAUAGGGUCUUCUUGUCCUUCGACGAUAUCUAACACUCUUCAGUUAGAUAUUAAUUUUUAUGGGGCUUAUAGAGACAGUUUUUAUUUCGUUGGUCCUUUCAUUCUAGCCCACAAUUAAUGGGCAAGUGAUUAUGCUACCUUUGCACGGUUAGGAUACCGCGGCCGUUGAACUAAGUCACUGGGCAGGAAUUACUUCCCAUAUUUUAGCGGGAAGCA
rnacentral:rRNA from 1 species